ACCCAAGCUCAGCCAGAGGGAGCCAGGAAGCUCCUGUGGAGAGAGGCCUGAGGCAGAGAGCUGAGCAGGGAGCCUAGAGGGUGAGCACUCUGGGGAACCCAACAGAUUGGAAAGUCUAUAAGAGGUGCUCCUAGAGAGAGAGGAGCCGCCUAGAUAGACAGCUGCAGUCAGCAGGUAUCCAAGGGGGCCUGGUCUCAGCCAGUGAGUCUCCCUGACACUGGUUGGAAGCCCAGCCUGGCAUGGAUCACUUGCUGUCCCGGGAGACGCGUUGCAGGGACUGGACCUCCCCUGACUCUAGGGAAGAGUCUGAGUCCAGCAGAGGCAAGAGGCUUAACACCAAGGGCAGAGAUUGGAAUCACGGGAGCCCCUGUGGAAGAGCCUGGAUAGAGGAGAGCACUGGACUCGGCUGGAACCUGGCACAGCAUUUGAGGCAGGGGAUGCAAGCGGCUUGACAACUACAGGAAAGUGCGUAUGUGAUGGAGACAAAGCUGCAAUCUAAGGGGUUUGCUCAGGAAGCAUCCAGCAGGCCAAAUCCUCAGCUCCACUGAAAUCAAGGCCGGUUUACACUGUCUGCUGGUCUGGUGCAAAGGUGUUAAUGAAAUAGUAACCUGGACAUUGGGGACCCAGGGCAGGGUGACCCUCAGGGAGUCUGAGAAGCAAAGUUCUGGCAAUGUGGGGCCAUGCCCAGCCGGAGCUGAGGAUUCCAUCACAGACAGGAAGGAUGCAGGGACCAGGAGAACACUGAGGCUGUGAUAACAUAGCCAAUCGGUGAAGAGGGGGGAAAAGAAGAGUUGCAUAGAGUCUCAAGUAGAAAUUACACUAAAUGAAGCAAAUGGGCCAAGCCUAGAGAUCCUGAUUGUUAAAAUGACUUCCUGAGAUGCUGCACCGCAAGUCAGGGGUUGGGACAAAGUUGGGUGACCUUCUCCCUGUGAAAUGUAUUAGUGUUAUCAGGGCUCUGCUAAAUAGCGUCCUCAGGCCAAAAUGUUUCCAGUUACUCUUAUUUAUUUGUACUGCAGUAGCCUAGAGGCUGUGCCCCAGAUCAAGGCUGUACGCACACAGUAAGAGACAUCCCCUGCCACAAAGAGUUUACAAGGUAAGAAGGCAGAUAAUGGGUGGGAGAAAGGAGAGAUUAUCAUUCCUAUUUUACAGAUGAGCAAGUGAGGCACAGAAAGACUAAGGACUUAUCUACACUAUUGCUUAAUUCAUGCAAACCAGGAUGUAAAUGUACCCUGCACCAGCUGGCUGCACACUAGGAAUCCAUGUGGACCCUGCUGACGCGCACUAACCAGUUCCCUAGUAUGCUUUGAUCUGCCCCACUUUGAAAUGGGAGUAGCAAGGCAGGGUGUGAAUUUGCAGUGCACUAGUUGCUCUGCACUAACUCCUCCUGUGGACACUCAUUGCACACUAAAAGUGCCUUUGUGUGCUUCAGCAUAAUGCACUUUAAAGUGUGCAGAGCUAAACUCCAUGAAGGCACUUCUAAUGCACAGUAAGAACCCUAGCUGAGACACAAGGAGGCCUGAUUGUCAGGGUGUGGAUGCUCCACACUUUCUGCAAAUCAGCCCCGGUAACAGAUCUCAUAGGGCACCAAAAAUCACUAGUUGCUUUUGGAAAUCUUGGUCUAAGUGAGUUGCCCAAGAUCACCCACAAAGUCUGUGCCAGGGCCAGUACCUGACUGCAGACCUCCUGAGGCCCUGUCCAAUACCUGAACCACUAGUCCCUCCUUCUAUCAAUGCUGUUAGGGAUUUGGAAAAGGUGAUAGCUGCUGAAGCUGAACAUAAAUACCGGUGCUGCAUAGCUUAUUAUAGGCUUUAUUGAAAUUGCUUUGUAAAAAGCUUCACAUCACAAGAAUACUCUGACCCUACCACCAGGAAAAAUGCAAGGGGAAUCUGUAUUGAGCCAGAGCAAUUUAAUUUCUGUCUAAGGAUAAUAUCUUUCCAAAAAUCUCCACUUCCAGUUAUUUCCUGCAGUGCAGAUUAAA